rnacentral:rRNA from 1 species
CAAUAGCGUAUAUUAAAGUUGUUGCGGUAAAAAAGCUCGUAGUUGGAUUUCUACCGAAGAUAGCCGGUCGGGUCUUCGACCUUGUAUCUGGUUUUGUCUUCGGUAUCCUCAUAGGGAACGUUUCUGCGCUUUAUUGCGUGGUGCGGUAUCUAUGACUUUUACUUUGAGGAAAUUAGAGUGUUCACGGCAGGCAAACGCCUUGAAUAUAUUAGCAUGGAAUAAUAACAUAGGAUCUUCGUCCUAUUUUGUUGGUUUCUAGGGCUAAGAUAAUGAUUAAUAGGGAUAAUUGGGGGCAUCUGUAUCAACGCGUCAGAGGUGGAAUUCUUGGAUUGCGUUGCGACAAACUACUGCGAAAGCAUUUGCCAAGGAUGUUUUCAUUGA